rnacentral:sRNA from 1 species
AUGAAAGUGGGAGUGCGAGUGAUGUCUACCAAAAACUG